rnacentral:rRNA from 1 species
UUAAGUUAUUAAGGGCGCACGGUGGAUGCCUUGGCACUAGAAGCCGAUGAAGGACGUUACUAACGACGAUAUGCUUUGGGGAGCUGUAAGUAAGCUUUGAUCCAGAGAUUUCCGAAUGGGGAAACCCAGCAUGAGUUAUGUCAUGUUAUCGAUAUGUGAAUACAUAGCAUAUCAGAAGGCACACCCGGAGAACUGAAACAUCUUAGUACCCGGAGGAAGAGAAAGAAAAUUCGAUUCCCUUAGUAGCGGCGAGCGAAACGGGAAGAGCCCAAACCAACAAGCUUGCUUGUUGGGGUUGUAGGACACUCUAUACGGAGUUACAAAGGACGACAUUAGACGAAUCAUCUGGAAAGAUGAAUCAAAGAAGGUAAUAAUCCUGUAGUCGAAAAUGUUGUCUCUCUUGAGUGGAUCCUGAGUACGACGGAGCACGUGAAAUUCCGUCGGAAUCUGGGAGGACCAUCUCCUAAGGCUAAAUACUCUCUAGUGACCGAUAGUGAACCAGUACCGUGAGGGAAAGGUGAAAAGUACCCCGGAAGGGGAGUGAAAGAGAACUUGAAACCGUGUGCUUACAAGUAGUCAGAGCCCGUUAAUGGGUGAUGGCGUGCCUUUUGUAGAAUGAACCGGCGAGUUACGAUCUGAUGCAAGGUUAAGCAGCAAAUGUGGAGCCGCAGCGAAAGCGAGUCUGAAUAGGGCGUUGAGUAUUUGGUCGUAGACCCGAAACCAGGUGAUCUACCCUUGGUCAGGUUGAAGUUCAGGUAACACUGAAUGGAGGACCGAACCGACUUACGUUGAAAAGUGAGCGGAUGAACUGAGGGUAGCGGAGAAAUUCCAAUCGAACCUGGAGAUAGCUGGUUCUCUCCGAAAUAGCUUUAGGGCUAGCCUCAAGUGAUGAUUAUUGGAGGUAGAGCACUGUUUGGACGAGGGGCCCCUCUCGGGUUACCGAAUUCAGACAAACUCCGAAUGCCAAUUAAUUUAACUUGGGAGUCAGAACAUGGGUGAUAAGGUCCGUGUUCGAAAGGGAAACAGCCCAGACCACCAGCUAAGGUCCCAAAAUAUAUGUUAAGUGGAAAAGGAUGUGGCGUUGCCCAGACAACUAGGAUGUUGGCUUAGAAGCAGCCAUCAUUUAAAGAGUGCGUAAUAGCUCACUAGUCGAGUGACACUGCGCCGAAAAUGUACCGGGGCUAAACAUAUUACCGAAGCUGUGGAUUGUCCUUUGGACAAUGGUAGGAGAGCGUUCUAAGGGCGUCGAAGCAUGAUCGCAAGGACAUGUGGAGCGCUUAGAAGUGAGAAUGCCGGUGUGAGUAGCGAAAGACGGGUGAGAAUCCCGUCCACCGAUUGACUAAGGUUUCCAGAGGAAGGCUCGUCCGCUCUGGGUUAGUCGGGUCCUAAGCUGAGGCCGACAGGCGUAGGCGAUGGAUAACAGGUUGAUAUUCCUGUACCACCUAUAAUCGUUUUAAUCGAUGGGGGGACGCAGUAGGAUAGGCGAAGCGUGCGAUUGGAUUGCACGUCUAAGCAGUAAGGCUGAGUAUUAGGCAAAUCCGGUACUCGUUAAGGCUGAGCUGUGAUGGGGAGAAGACAUUGUGUCUUCGAGUCGUUGAUUUCACACUGCCGAGAAAAGCCUCUAGAUAGAAAAUAGGUGCCCGUACCGCAAACCGACACAGGUAGUCAAGAUGAGAAUUCUAAGGUGAGCGAGCGAACUCUCGUUAAGGAACUCGGCAAAAUGACCCCGUAACUUCGGGAGAAGGGGUGCUCUUUAGGGUUAACGCCCAGAAGAGCCGCAGUGAAUAGGCCCAAGCGACUGUUUAUCAAAAACACAGGUCUCUGCUAAACCGUAAGGUGAUGUAUAGGGGCUGACGCCUGCCCGGUGCUGGAAGGUUAAGAGGAGUGGUUAGCUUCUGCGAAGCUACGAAUCGAAGCCCCAGUAAACGGCGGCCGUAACUAUAACGGUCCUAAGGUAGCGAAAUUCCUUGUCGGGUAAGUUCCGAC